GAUGAAGAACGUAGCGAAAUGCGAUAAGUAAUGUGAAUUGCAGAAUUCAGUGAAUCAUCGAAUCUUUGAACGCACAUUGCGCCCCUUGGUAUUCCGAGGGGCAUGCCUGUUCGAGCGUCAUUUCAACCCUCAAGCACAGCUUGGUCUUGGGCUUCGCCGCUAACCCGGCGGGUCUUAAAAUCAGUGGCGGUGCCGUCCGGCUCUAAGCGUAGUAAAUCUCCUCGCUAUAGGGUUCCGGAGGGAUGCUGGCCAACAACCCCCAACUUUUAAGGUUGACCUCGGAUCAGGUAGGGAUACCCGCUGAACUUAAGCAUAUCAAUAAGCGGAGGA
rnacentral:misc_RNA from 1 species